GUGAGAAAAUCUUAAUUCGGUCAUCCAGAGCAUGUUGUAUUCCUUUCCCAUUCCUUUUUAUCUUUUCUAUUUUUCUUUUCUUUUACUCUUCUUCUGUUUGGGAAAAGGAAAAAUGGGGGCUUUGGUUUCAUUUUCACAAAAC
rnacentral:ribozyme from 13 species